UUCCAGACUCCUACGGGAGGCAGCAGUGGGGAAUAUUGCACAAUGGGGGAAACCCUGAUGCAGCGACGCCGCGUGAGCGAUGAAGUAUUUCGGUAUGUAAAGCUCUAUCAGCAGGGAAGAAAAUGACGGUACCUGACUAAGAAGCCCCGGCUAACUACGUGCCAGCAGCCGCGGUAAUACGUAGGGGGCAAGCGUUAUCCGGAUUUACUGGGUGUAAAGGGAGCGUAGACGGUUGUGCAAGCCAGAUGUGAAAGCCCGGGGCUCAACCCCGGGACUGCAUUUGGAACUGUGUAGCUGGAGUGUCGGAGAGGCAGGCGGAAUUCCUAGUGUAGCGGUGAAAUGCGUAGAUAUUAGGAGGAACACCAGUGGCGAAGGCGGCCUGCUGGACGAUGACUGACGUUGAGGCUCGAAAGCGUGGGGAGCAAACAGGAUUAGAUACCCCAGUA
rnacentral:rRNA from 1 species